UGGUGAGAUAAAAGCUCACCAAGGCGACGAUGGGUAGCCGGCCUUAGAGGGUGAACGGCCACACUGGAACUGAGACACGGUCCAGACUCCUACGGGAGGCAGCAGUGGGGAAUAUUGCACAAUGGGGGAAACCCUGAUGCAGCGACGCCGCGUGAGUGAUGAAGGUUUUCGGAUCGUAAAGCUCUGUCCUUGGGGAAGAUAAUGACGGUACCCAAGGAGGAAGCCCCGGCUAACUACGUGCCAGCAGCCGCGGUAAUACGUAGGGGGCGAGCGUUAUCCGGAUUUAUUGGGCGUAAAGGGUACGCAGGCGGCUAUAUAAGUCAGGUGUGAAAGUCAGUGGCUCAACCAUUGUAAGCACUUGAAACUGUAUAGCUUGAGUACUGGAGAGGAAAGUGGAAUUCCUAGUGUAGCGGUGAAAUGCGUAGAUAUUAGGAGGAACACCAGUGGCGAAGGCGACUUUCUGGACAGAUACUGACGCUGAGGUACGAAAGCGUGGGGAGCAAACAGGAUUAGAUACCCUGGUAGUCCACGCUGUAAACGAUGAGUGCUAGGUGUUGGGGGUCGAACCCCAGUGCCGCCGUUAA
rnacentral:rRNA from 1 species